AUUGAACGCUGGCGGCAGGCCUAACACAUGCAAGUCGAACGCGUGGCGGACGGGUGAGUAAUGUCUGGAAAACUGCCCGAUGGAGGGGGAUAACUACUGGAAACGGUAGCUAAUACCGCAUACCAUUCGCUGUGCCCAGAUGGGAUUAGCUAGUAGGUGGGGUAAUGGCUCACCUAGGCCACGAUCCCUCGCUGGUCUGAGAGGAUGACCGGCCACACUGGAACUGAGACACGGUCCAGACUCCUACGGGAGACAGCAGUAGGGAAUAUUGCACAAUGGGCGCAAGCCUGAUGCAGCCACGCCGCGUGAAUGAAGAAGGCCUUCGGGUUGUAAAGUACUUUCAUCAAGGAAGCGUUACUCGCAGAAGAAGCACCGGCUAACUCCGUGCCAGCAGCCGCGGUAAUAC
rnacentral:rRNA from 1 species